rnacentral:rRNA from 1 species
ACNCUCGACACCUACGGAGGCAGCAGUAGGGAAUCUUCCACAAUGGGCGCAAGCCUGAUGGAGCAACACCGCGUGAGUGAAGAAGGGUUUCGGCUCGUAAAGCUCUGUUGUUGGAGAAGAACGUGCGUGAGAGUAACUGUUCACGCAGUGACGGUAUCCAACCAGAAAGUCACGGCUAACUACGUGCUAGCAGCCGCGGUAAUCUGAGCGGGCUGGCAAGGC